CUGGGAGUUCUCUGCUGCUGCAGCAUAAGCCCCUCUGGGAGGAGCUGUCCCUUUAUUUGCUGUGGAGCACUCUGCUGUCCCGUGAGGAAUAAAAAAUAACAGCGGUGGCUUCCAGUAUGCUCGGCAUGAACGAUGUGGCUGCCAAGAACCAAGGCUUGAUCCUCGUGUUCCACAAAAAGAACGGCUCAGUGUAUUUAGCACAUUGCUCCAAGUGAUUAAUCCAGCCAAUAAAGGCGGAGGUUUUUCCUAAGGUACAUGAAUAUCUUUUAAAACUAUGUUUUCGUUCUCUUGAAGCAACAAAGAAUUGAAUAACCUAAUUUUUACUAGUGCUAUGAUGACUUGUGAUCAGGAAUGGAAAAAACAAUAUAAAAUAGUAGCCUACUGUAUCAAACAUAUUUGCUCAAUAAUCUUUUUGGUAUCCAGGAGCUUAUCAGAAAGCUCGUGCUAGGUACAGGCUGCCCUGGGUACAACCUGCUGUUCCUGCUGGAGCAGUGUCCAGUUCAGCUGUCCCAGUUCAGAGGGCUGCACACAGGGUAUGUUGCAGGAAGCAUUCAGUGUUUUCAUAUGUUUCUGUUAUCAAACUUCUCUUUUAAUGUAGGGGUCGUCCCUUCAACACAGAGUAAUUCUGCCUGGAGGCUAUUUAGUGAAGAACCUUGCUGGUUUUGGGCCCACUGGAAACUAUUUAUCGCUGUUUACAGAAGAGAAAAGCCGGGCCACCAGAUUAGCAACCAAAUCUAAGACUGAUUUCAAAGUACAUUCUCCGAUAGAACAAUACCCAUCUUUCCAGUUCCGGGAUGGGAGCGGAUACCUGAGUAAAACAUCACUGUCGAAAGGCAGCCUGACUUUCACCAACUGUGGGGACAAAAAGAAUAUGCAUACCUUCCAGAAGAAAACACUGUAGCUAGGCCUCAAAGGUUCAUUAUCAAAUGAUUUCCAUGAGGUCGAGAGGUUUCCAGCAGUGAAUGGAGCAUCUCAGCCUUGGUUUCACAAAGGAGAGAUGGACCUAGGUGCACAAGGAUCUGUCAUGUGCAAUUGUGUUUACUUGUGCCUGUUUGCUAACCUCCAGCUUCGUGGAACAGGUCCCCUGAUCUGGUUCACAGCAUGGCCCUGCCAGGAGCUGGAAUUGGGAAGAUUGAGGAGUGAUGCAAUGUGGCAUGAGGACAAAAAAGGUGGAACUGGGUGUUGGGAUGUUUCUGAGGCCACAGGAUCAGAAAACUGUGGCCUUUCUGCUGCCAGCCUGAGGCGAGCCUCAAUUUCUAGCCACUGGUGA
rnacentral:lncRNA from 1 species